rnacentral:rRNA from 1 species
AUUGAUAGUACCUUUACCUGGAAACCGUGGUAAUUCUAGAGCUAAUACAUGCUAAAAACCCCGACUUCGGGAGGGGUGUAUUUAUUAGAUAAAAAACCAAUGCCCUCUGGGCUCCUUGGUGAUUCAUAAUAACUUAACGAAUCGCAUGGCCUUGCGCCGGCGAUGGUUCAUUCAAAUUUCUGCCCUAUCAACUUUCGAUUGUAGGAUAGAGGCCUACAAUGGUCUUAACGGGUAACGGGGAAUUAGGGUUCGACUCCGGAGAGGGAGCCUGAGAAACGGCUACCACAUCCAAGGAAGGCAGCAGGCGCGCAAAUUACCCAAUGCUAAUUCAGCGAGGUAGUGACAAUAAAUACUGAUACGGGGCUCUUUCGGGUCUCGUAAUUGGAAUGAGUACAAUCUAAAUCCCUUAACGAGGAACAAUUGGAGGGCAAGUCUGGUGCCAGCAGCCGCGGUAAUUCCAGCUCCAAUAGCGUAUAUUAAAGUUGUUGCCGUUAAAAAGCUCGUAGUUGAACCUUGGACCUGGCUGAUCUGUCCUCCUAAUCGAGCGCACGGAUUCGGUCGGGUCUUUCCUUCUGGGGAGCCCCAUGCCCUUCACUGGGUGUGGUGGGGAACCAGGACUUUUACCUUGAAAAAAUUAGAGUGUUCAAAGCAGGCCUUUGCUCGAAUACAUUAGCAUGGAAUAAUAGAAUAGGACAUCGGUUCUAUUUUGUUGGUUUCUAGGACCGCUGUAAUGAUUAAUAGGGAUAGUCGGGGGCGUCAGUAUUCAAUUGUCAGAGGUGAAAUUCUUGGAUUUAUUGAAGACUAACUACUGCGAAAGCAUUCGCCAAGGAUGUUUUCAUUAAUCAGUGAACGAAAGUUAGGGGAUCGAAGACGAUCAGAUACCGUCGUAGUCUUAACCAUAAACUAUGCCGACUAGGGAUCGGACGGUGGUUUUUUUAUGCCCCGUUCGGCACCUUACGAGAAAUCAAAGUUUUUGGGCUCGGGGGGGAGUAUGGUCGCAAGGCUGAAACUUAAAGAAAUUGACGGAAGGGCACCACCAGGCCCUGCGGCUUAAUUUGACUCAACACGGGGAAACUCACCAGGUCCAGACAUGCUUAGGAUUGACAGAUUGAUAGCUCUUUCUUGAUUGUAUGGGUGGUGGUGCAUGGCCGUUCUUAGUUGGUGGAGUGAUUUGUCUGCUUAAUUGCGAUAACGAACGAGACCUUGACCUGCUAAAUAGCCAGGUUGACUUUUGUCGGCCGCCGGCUUCUUAGAGGGACUUUUGGCUCAAGCCAAUGGAAGUACGAGGCAAUAACAGGUCUGUGAUGCCCUUAGAUGUUCUGGGCUGCACGCGCGCUACACUGACAGAGCCAGCGAGUACAUCACCUUGGCCGAAAGGUCUGGGUAAUCUUGUUAAACUCUGUCGUGCUGGGGAUAGAGCAUUGCAAUUAUUGCUCUUCAACGAGGAAUGCCUAGUAAGCGCAAGUCAUCAGCUUGCGUUGAUUACGUCCCUGCCCUUUGUACACACCGCCCGUCGCUACUACCGAUUGAAUGGCUCAGUGAGGCCUUGGGACUGGCUCAGAGAGGUCGGCAACGACCACUCAGAGCCGGAAACUUGGUCAAACUUGGUCAUUUAGAGGAAGUAAAAGUCGUAACAAGGUUUAACUC